AUACUGGCUUCGGCGGUAUAUAUGCUAAAAUUGGAACGAUACAGGGAGGACUAGCAUGGCCCUGUGCAAGGAUGAAAGGGAAAAUCGUGAUGCGUUUCACAUUUUU